CAGCUAAUUAUGAAGUUCUUUCUUUUGAUAGUUUCUUUGAAGUGUUCCACAUUUUUACCAUCAUGGUUAGUAGAUGGUAACAUAAUCUCUACAAAGAUCAAGAGUGCAUCUAGCAACCAUGAUCUUGAAAGAAUUAAUUGGAAAAGCAACCCAGCUAGAGCCUGUCCUAAUUGUGAAUUUGUGAUUGACAACAAUGAAGUAAGAUUUCCAUUAUUUCUUUAUCCUCUGUGUACUUGGGAGAAUUAUAAAGAUGAUAGAGAAAAGGGAAUCACGGGGGCAGAGAAACAAGCUCUGAGGUCCCAGCCUCUCAUGGGCAUCCACAUAGUGAUAUCUACAGUUUUCUGGUGCUGGGGUUAGGCGGGGAGCCUAGUUUCAUUAAAUAAAAAAUCUGGAUGAAUUUUUAUAAUGCCAUAUUAUUGUCUGGUGAAGUAGAAUUUUAUUGAAUAACUUGCUAAUAGUAGGGCUAACUACUUAAAUAAUAGGUAUAAGCUCUUUUAAUGUAGACUAUGGGUUCUACUUUGCAUCUAUUAUAAUUGGGUUACAGGAUGGCUACUCAUAAUGAGUGCAAAUAUUUUUCAUAAUACUGUCUCAUUUGUCAGACGAAGUAGAAAUUGCUAGUGUAACUUUCUUACAGUAUGGUUAAAUACUUAAAUUCUACUUAUAAAGCUCUUAUAGACUAUGAGAUCUCCAUCUCGUCUAUUAUAAUUGAGUAGCAGCUUGUUUAAUUAUAACGAGUGCAAAGCAUUUUCAGAAUGCCAUCUUAUAUGAUCUGGCAAAGUAGAGUUUGGUAUGGCUGCUUAGUCCCCUGCAUCUGUGAUUUAGCAAAAAUAUAUUUCCCUUAGUGACCUCCUAGACAUUCUCAAGGAUCAAGGUACUGGAUUGGAAAUUUCUGUCAUGCUAUUUGUGUGCUUACUAUAUAUUUCCUGAGUUGUUUCCUAGAGAGAGUUUUAAUUGGCUGGGUGAAGAGAGAGGGAGAGGCAAGUUCUCGAAAUCCUGUUCUGUUUGUAAUUUUUUUGAUACGUUCUCAUAAUACAAUCAUUCUCCCUAAUGAUCCCUACGAGUUAAUGAGUGGAAAGAUGGUAGAUGGUUACGAAUUAUAUUGGGAAGUGAAAAUUGAUUCAAAAAUGUUUUUUUUUUUGCAAUGUGGUAUACUCUAGACUAGUUGUGCAAUCCAAGAUGUUGAACUUAGAGAGCUAUUACAUAGCUACUAUGGAGCCAGUGAGAAGAAAUAUCACAUUAAUAAUUUAGACGAAGAUAAGGUUAUGGUGUUUUAUAAUGUGGCCGUAAUUAAUGACAUUAGCCUUCAGCCACCUCAACAAAUUAUUGCAGUAGUUUGAAUAGCUGCGUGGCACAUCUUGGUCAAUCCAUGCUAAAAUUUCUCUUGAUUUUGCUCAUUUAUUAUUUUAGAAAGAAUGUUUACCCAAUCUGUCAGUGUUCUCUCACAUUAUUGAUUGCUAGUUUUACUUGUAUAUAUGUUUCUUACAUAUUUUCUAACUUCCAUGCUCAAUUCUGAUCUUUUCAUGCGAUCCUCUACUUGAGAACUUUUAUUUAUUUAUUUUUUAAUGUUUUUUGGAGGAUAGAGAGCCUAGUUCAUUAUUUCAUCUUGUUCUGGGAGAAUUAGGCCAUUUGGAUUCUUAUUGAUGUUGCUGUCUAAUAAUGACAUUUUCUCUAGUAUGGCAAUGGAUGUGUUGAAGGAAAACUGUGCCAAUAUUGUUUUAGUAGAAUAUAUUUAUCAUAGUACUAAAGUCAAAUUAAUGGAGCAUAAUAGCAUGUUAACAUGAUAUUGAAACAUACCAAUCUUGUCUGUACUUGAAAAUAUUUGUAAAAUUGUCUUUGCUGCUAUUAUGUUGUAUUCCUCAUGAACAUAAGGCAACAACUUGAAUUGACAGGCUUUUCAGAAGUAGUGUUAGUGAGACCUUGUAGUGUAACAAUUAUUAUAAUUUUUAUUUCAUUUUUCAUGCUGUCCUCCUAAAUGUUGGUUUCUGAACAUCUUGCAGAGCUUUACACAAAGAAAAUGUUUCAGUUGCUACAGUCUGCUUAUUCUACAAUAAGGAUCCAAGACACUGCUCUUUUUCUAGGAAUGAACGAGGAUAAUUCCACAAAUUCAAGCUAAGUGGGGCACAACAGAGCAGAAAGAUCGAUCUAUACUCUGGAAGGUGGCCAGAAAAGAUUCUUCUGGCAACUAUGUCACCGAGUGUGACAAGGUCAUGGGAGAGGCCAUCGAAGAAAUGCUUGAGCAAAGAAAAGAAGGCAAACUGAUUGAGAUCGGAACAAAUGACAUCCUAACACAAGUGUUAGGUACUGCUGAGCACCUCCGUCGAGUUCGAGGCCAGAGUCAAGGUGUCACACAAAGAGACUACUUUCAUAAGCCAAUUGGGGGGGGGGGGGGGUCUAAGAGGCUUGCUAGAGUUACCUUUUGAAAUCAUAGCUAGAGUUUCUUGAGAGGAUGAGUCAUAGCUAGAGUAACUUUUGAAAUCAGAAUUAAAAAAAUAUACUAAUUGUAGUUCUUAGUUAGCACUUACAUAGUUAUUCCAAUUGAGUUCUAUAUUCCAUGUGAGUUAGCACUUACAUAUUUUGAUCGUGUAAUUUUUAGAGUUGGAACAUACUGAGUUCUAUUGAUUUUGUUUGCCUGUU